GUUUUCUCCCUUAUCAAGCACCUGACUCACAACGAGACUAGGUAUAAUAUCAGCCAGCCGUUCAUAAUCGGUCAAAAUUCCCCAAACUGUUUGUAAACUAGCGUCAAUAGCAACCUUAGACCUAAUUCUCCGUCGAUUCUUACUUACCUUUUCAACCUCAACUUCAAUUCCACCAGCAUCACCGGAAUUCGAUUCCGGUUCCGGUUCCAAUUCCGGUUCCGAUUCCGGUUCCGGUUCAGAUAACUGUACGGACGAUUCCUCAGAAUCUCCGUUGGAAGACGACGCAGAAAAUGCUUGAAAUUGAGGUGUAAAUGAUGAGCUGAAGGCUAGUUGUGGUGGUUUGUGUACGGUUAUUGGUGGAUAACUGAUUGUUUUGGCGGGAAAAGUGUGGGUGAAGAUACCGUCGGGAAUAAUAACAAUGGCGGCAUCUACUACGGUUACCGGAGUGAUUGGUAGCCGUUGUAACGCCAUUUCUGGUGAUGGUAACCACGUGGAUUGACGUUUGAUUUUUGGAAUAUCUAAAGGACCGUAUUUUGGAAUAUCUAAAGAAUCGUAAUGUUUGAUUUUUGGAAUAUCUAAAGAACCGUAAUUGAGUUGAGUCGAGUCGAGUCAGGGUGACCUUGAGCUCGUGCUUAAAAAUUUAAUAUUGAAGUUAAACGAGCUUGAGAAUGAGCUAAAUCUUUUUGAACUUUAGUCGAGCGAGCUACGAGUCGAGCUGCAAGCUGGAAGCAUUAUGAAACGCUUAGGGCUGUAAACAAACCGAACUUUCAGCGAAUAGUUUGUGAACCGUUUGGCGGGAAGUUCGUUUACGUUCGUUCGUUCGUUUAGUUAAUGAACGAACAUGAACAAGAAAUUUCGUUUGAUUAGUUAAAUGAACACGAACAACUGUCUCGUUCGUUCAAUUGCGUUCAUGAACGUUCAGUAACGUGUUCGUGAACAUUCGUUCACGUUCGUUUGUUUAUAUUGUUCAUUAAAUGUUUUUUUAGC
rnacentral:lncRNA from 1 species